GAUGAACGCUGGCGGCGUGCCUAAUACAUGCAAGUCGAGCGAACAGACGAGGAGCUUGCUCCUCUGACGUUAGCGGCGGACGGGUGAGUAACACGUGGUUAACCUAACUAUAAGACUGGGAUAACUUCGGGAAACCGGAGCUAAUACCGGAUAACAUGUUGAACCGCAUGGUUCAACAGUGAAAGACGGUCUUGCUGUCACUUAUAGAUGGAUCAGCGCCGCAUUAGCAAGUUGGUAAGGUAACGGCUUACCAAGGCAACGAUGCGUAGCCGACCUGAGAGGGUGAUCGGCCACACUGGAACUGAGACACGGUCCAGACUCCUACGGGAGGAAGCAGUAGGGAAUCUUCCGCAAUGGGCGAAAGCCUGACGGAGCAACGCCGCGUGAGUGAAGAAGGUCUUCGGAUCGUAAAACUCUGUUAUUAGGGAAGAACAAAUGUGUAAGUAACUAUGCACGUCUUGACGGUACCUAAUCAGAAAGCCACGGCUAACUACGUG
rnacentral:rRNA from 1 species